GAUGAACGCUAGCGGCAGGCUUAAUACAUGCAAGUCGAGGGGCAGCAUGAUUGUAGCAAUACAAUUGAUGGCGACCGGCAAACGGGUGCGGAACACGUACACAACCUUCCAACAAGUGGGGGAUAGCCCAGAGAAAUUUGGAUUAAUACCCCGUAACAUAGCGAUGUGGCAUCACAUUGCUAUUAUAGAUUUUUCGCUUGUUGAUGGGUGUGCGGCUGAUUAGAUAGUUGGCGGGGUAAUGGCCCACCAAGUCUACGAUCAGUAGCUGAUGUGAGGGAAAGGUCAGCCACGCGGGCACUGAGACACGGGCCCGACUCCUACGGGAGGCAGCAGUAAGGAAUAUUGGACAAUGGACGCAAGUCUGAUCCAGCCAUGCCGCGUGAAGGAUUAAGGUCCUCUGGAUUGUAAACUUCUUUUAUAAGGGACGAAAAAAGGCUUUUCUAAGUCGUCUGACGGUACCUUAUGAAUAAGCACCGGCUAACUCCGUGCCAGCAGCCGCGGUAAGAC
rnacentral:rRNA from 1 species